UACGGAGGGCGCAAGCGUUGUUCGGAAUCACUGGGCGUAAAGCGCGCGCAGGCGGCUCGGCAAGUCGGGUGUGAAAUCCCGAGGCUCAACCUCGGAACUGCACUCGAUACUGCUGGGCUAGAGUCCCGGAGAGGGUGGCGGAAUUCCCGGUGUAGGAGUGAAAUCCGUAGAUAUCGGGAGGAACACCAGUGGCGAAGGCUGCCCCCUGGGCGGUGACUGACGCUCAGACGCGAAAGCGUGGGGAGCAAACAGG
rnacentral:rRNA from 1 species